rnacentral:misc_RNA from 1 species
UAAUAAAAGUGUUUUAUGGCACUUUUCAAACAAAUCCAUAUCCACCUUGUGUGCAAUGUUUUUUUUUUUUUUAAAUAAACACUUUAUUUUUUAAUUGCCAAUUUAUCUGAAGAUCAGUAUUAUUAUGAAUUAACUUAAUUCAAAAUA